rnacentral:lncRNA from 1 species
UCUCUCUCUCUCUCUCUCUCUCUCUCUCUCUGCUUCCUGCUUGCCAGAAGUUGGAGAAAUGAACUCUCAGUGGCUGCAGCUAUGUCUGUCUCCUGCUGCCACAAUCUCCCGCCCUGAUGGACUCUCAGCUCUCCAGAACUCAGGAGCAGGAGGAAAUUUCCAGGAUCCAAACCAAACCUCAGGUGCAUAAUGACAAAAAGGAUGAAGAGGAACUUGUCAUGUGCACUUCUGUCCAAUAAAACCAUCCUUUCCAGGGUGCCAUGCUGAGUUCAUUGCUUUUCUUUCGCAAAAUGAGGACUUGCUUGAGUUUUGGCUCUCAGGAAAAACCCAUAGGCAAGAGAAGCAGUUCAGAAAAUAAGGCCAGCAAAGGUGGCUGGUGAAGGUGAGAGGCACGGUGGGGAAGGAAGGCUAGAGCCAGGGUAAGAAGCGAGAAGCCGGAAGCACUGCUUUGACCUCCUGUUCUGUUUUGGAGUAACAAUUAAUCAAAAACACACUGAGCCUCCAUUUUCCUGUGAUUAUUAUUCACUCAGCCACAAGGCCACGUUCCAGGAUGAUCUUGAAUGGAGAUAUUGUACAAGCCCUGUUGGGGGAGAGACUGGUUGCUAUCAACUUUGACCACAACAGAUGUAAAAUAACGGACUGCGAUAUUCUUUGGGAAAGUUUUGAGUUCUUUUUCCUGGAAACGAGAAAAAGACAUCUUUUUUUCAUUGCUGUGCUUCUCUUUGCUCAGGGGGUUGUGCGGUUUCCAUUCAGCCUGGACUACAGAGAAAGGCUUUCUCCUGGGCGAUGAUUAGCAAUGCAAAGGGAUGGGAGGUCUGAGACACAACAUAAAGAAAUUCUAUGGCGUGCCUGCUGUAGGUUUGCCUUUGUGCCUGCUUCCUAGGGUGAAUUCAUCCCUAGCCCUUGAAAAGAUUAGGAGGAAGAUACCGGGAUUAAUAAGGAAUCUUAGAGCUGCUUGAAUUCAAUGAC